rnacentral:rRNA from 1 species
GACGAACGCUGGCGGCGUGCUUAACACAUGCAAGUCGAACGGAAAGGCGCUGCUUUUGUGGGGUGCUCGAGUGGCGAACGGGUGAGUAACACGUGAGUAACCUGCCCUUGACUUUGGGAUAACUUCAGGAAACUGGGGCUAAUACCGGAUAGGAGCUCCUGCUGCAUGGUGGGGGUUGGAAAGUUUCGGCGGUUGGGGAUGGACUCGCGGGUUAUCAGCUUGUUGGUGGGGUAGUGGCUUACCAAGGCUUUGACGGGUAGCCGGCCUGAGAGGGUGACCGGGCACCAUGGGCCUGAGGGACGGAGCAGAAGGGAAUGGGCGGCAGUGGUGGGGAAUCUGGCGGAAUGGCCCGAAGCGUGAUGCGACAACGCCGCGAGCGGAAUGCCGGCUUAUGGGUUGAAAACCGAUUUGGAAUGAGCCGAAGAGUGAGUGACGGUACCGGGUCAAGAAGCCCCGGCUAACUACGUG